GCUGCACAGAUGACUGGCUGAAGAGCAGGGAGCGGGGCGCAGGGGAGAUCCAUGCUCCCUGGAGUUUCAGGAUUAAGCCCUAGAGAGCCCUGAGCGUCUCCCAGAGGGAUCGAUGUGGAUACUGAUAGACACGUAUCGAGCGCCUGCCACUCCUCUGAUACUGUGAUCUGUUUCCUGGGCAUCAUCUCAUAUCACCUUCGAAUUGUUAUCUCUUUCUGUGACAAGGAAACCGAGGCUCGAGGGUGUGAGGUGCCUUGCCCAAGAUGACACAGCAAGGAAGUGGUUGAGCCAGAAUUUGAACUAAGAGCCACGCCCUUAACCCCUCUGUCCAUAUCACUUCCUUUCACUGAGGUCCCCCACGACGGACCCAAGUUCUGCUUCCACCAUUUUCAAGGCAGGAGCCAGUCCUCCAGAUCGUGCAGGGGGCUCAGUGCUGGGUCAGGCUCUCCAGACCCCGGGACCCACCGCCACCUGAGGCCCUUUGCCUAUGAGCUGGCGUGAGCCGGGUGGCCAUCUGCCUGGUGAUGUUAGAAAGAUGCUCGGGCUGAGGAGGAGGCAUCAGAGGGUGGCUGAGGGGCUGCCGUGGGUGCUGCUCGUAUAGACAGAACCCCCCCUGUUCACCAGCAUUUGAGCUGCCCCCUCUUCUCCCACCAGAUGGAACAGUGCUGCCUAAUUGGUCAACUCUGCUGGAGGAGAACCUGAGAGGUGAUGCGGGAUUGGUUUGUGUGGAGCCCCGGGCCCUGGGGAGGGGCCGGAAGUCAGCCCUGUCCUGCAGCCAGAAGGUGGAGCAGGUGGGAACGGAGCCCCUCUCUUCGCAGACACUUCACAGAAGAUGCUCAGGGAACAGCGCCGGGAGAGAGAAAGGGCUGACAUGCAGGGAAAACUCAUUUUGGAGGUUUCGAUCCAGUUCCAGCUGAGCAGAGCCGAGCUGCGGGGGCAGGACGGGCAGGGGGCGGCGGGCAGGGCCGGUGGCCUCGGGGCUGAGCUGAAGGAGGGGGCUGGAGGACGGGCAGCUCUGGCAGGGGUGGGCAGGGGAAGGGAGGUGACAGACACUCAGGCAGAACUGCCCUUAAAUCAGGUAAUGGGGCCCCUGUGAUUCAGAGGACGCCCCGCCCCCAGCCCACAGGGGAGGACUCUGCAGGCCCAGGGAAGGGGACCCCUUUAGACCUCACCCUGGGACCUGGGAAUCCUCUGCCCAAAUGGCCCUGUCCCCAUGAGCUGUCUGCCCCGAGAGCCCAGGUCUGGGCUCCCGAGUAACCCCCCGGGGUGACCACCACCCCCUACCCCUGAGUGUGAACACAGCCCAGGCCCAAGGGGCAGCUGAGGGGAAGCUUUUGCACUGAGGUGUCACCAAGUCUCCAGUCAAAUUAAGCCCCGCCCCCAGUACUGUGAAGUCUCUGCUUUAGUCCCCACAGGCAGGGACCACGCUGCUUGGUUCUCUCUCCUCCUCCAAACUUAACACGGGCCUGGCUCCAAGUGGGGACCCCGGGAGGGCUUGCUCGGGGGUCCUCAGAGAGGGGCAGAGGCUCUCCAGAGGGCACACAGCAAUGGGAUGGACAGAAACCUCUCUGUCCAGGCCUCAGUUGGCUCAGUGCCCUCCAGCCGGAGCUGGGUCCCCAUCAGAGAGCGUCCAGUGGCUUUCAGGGACCCUCAGGGAGAUCCAUGGAUGAGAACCAAGGAAGAAUGAAGCGGGCAUGCGUGGGAGCCAGGAGCCGCUCUGAGCCUCGGGGAAGAGAAGCCUUGAGCAGGGACGUCAGGAGACCAAGAAAGUCCUACAAUUCUGAGCAGCCUGCGGAUCUCUGAGGCACUGAGCCAGCAGCCAUCAUCCUUCUCUCUCCGUCUAAAUUGUUUCAGCACCACACACCCUAAGGCGCGGGGAGGGGCAUGGAGCUGGGCAGCGACUUCCUUUGAGCAGGCCCAGUUGAGUCCCUGGUCCUGGCCUGUGUGCCCCCUGCCUGCAGCCCUGAGCCAGGAAGUAGGUGGAGUUGGGUGGCACUUCCUGGCGUGAAAGCCAGGAAGUUCAAGCGUCUUUUCCCAAUUGGCCAGUUUUGAGCGGAGGAGGAUUAGCUGUGGGAUGCUGGGCAAGUCACUUAACCUCUGUGAGCCUUACUUUCUUCAUCUGGGAAAUGAGCUGACAGCUGCCUCCUCGGCUGGUGUGAGCCCUGAGUGAUGACACAUGUGGGGGCCAGGUGCUGUGCCUGGCCCUCAGCAGGUGCUCCCAUGGUGAGCCUCAUCCCCACCGUGGAGAGCUCGGCACUGACAGUUCUCCCCGAAGCCAGCCCCUGCGUCAUUCUGCUUUCAAUGUUCCCACAUCUGCCCCCUUUCCCCCAUUGGGACAGUCAAGGCAUUGGGCACAUGGCCACCAAGGCCCUUUGCAGCUUGGACAGUGGGGGCCCCUUACUCCUUUCCUGAGCCACAGCCUCAUGCCCGACUCUAACCACUGCACCCCCAGCCCCGUGAGCCUGUCAGCUGCGUUCAGGAGACCCUGAGCCUCCCUACUGACCCAGAGCUGCAGGAGAACAGACCCACCACCGACUGCAGACCUCCUGUGUCCGGGCCCUGGGCUCGCAGAGAACAGAUGCGCCCUGUUCCCUCUGAGGUUGUGUCAGCAGGAGGGAAGCAGGCACCGCGAGGAGGGACCCUGGACACGCCAGGCCGGCCCUGGGAGCAGGAGACCCAGGAAUAGACACGGCAGGUGCGCAUGUGCGCGCUGAGUGGGCGACAGUCUCGGUUCUUCAGCCUGUCAGCACCGGGAAUAAUUAGAAUCCUAAAGAGGCCUCGUUAUUGCUCCCAGGACCGUGGCGCCCUUUGGAAAAAGGAUGUUUCCUGCCAGAUCGUCCCCUGAAGAUGCGUUUGUCACCAGCUGUCGUGUAAAUCCAUGUUUGGCCUGUUUUAAAAGAUGUGAUUUAUCCACAUGACUGGCCUUCACGCCCCUUCUCCAAACUCUCAAGACGAGGCUGCUCUCAGGAGCCCAGAGAGGAGCCGUAACACAUGGCAUGGCUGGGCCACCUCCUGCCUGGGCUCUGAGCUCCCUCGGUCUGCAGGGGGUCGGAGGGGAGGGGAUGGGGGACGUGCUGCCCACGAGCCGCAAACACUUCAGGACGCUGGUCAGUCCUCAAGGAGGGAACGUGCGAUGUCCAAGAAAGGCCAGCGUCAGGUUCACCCAUCCCCCAGGCUCACUGCCGCCCUACUAUGUGCUGGCCUGCGGGGCCUGGGGGUGCAGCAGCGGAGAGACGAGGUCCUGCCCCAGGAGGCGACGACUGGAGGGGGAGGCAGGAGGACAGGUGGACACGGCUUCACAAGACUAUUCCAGUGGGGGAGGGGCUGGGAGAGAGUAACACAGCAGGUGUUCAAGUCUGGCUCUGGGCAGGGGAGGGCCAGUGACAGCCUUGGACUGUGGGGACAGGACGGUCUCUCUGAGAAGGGACCUUAGAGCUGAGACCUCAAUGACAGGAUGGAGGACGGAGCAGCUAGUCCUGCCUCAGGGGGCGGGGGAGGCUCCAUGGAGGAGGGGACCCCGGAUCUACUCCUGAGGAUGCUUGGAAUGCACCAGGUGGAGAGAGGAAGAGAAUCCAGACGAGGAGACAGGAGCAAAGGCCCAGAGCGGUGCAGGUCGCAUCCUGUUGGGGAAUGUGUACGUGGUCGGAAGUGGGGCUGGAAGUGCCCUGGGGCUGCAUGUGACAGACCUGAGAGCUGUGCUAAAGAGAUGGGGCGCCACCCUAAGGGAGGGGAUCUUCCGAAAUGUUUAAGCAGCACGGAGCCGCCCCUCUGAGGAGCAUGCGCUCUGACGCCUGAGGCCCCUCCAGCACUGGGUCUCAGUGAGCCGGACCCGCAGAGACUGUUGGCUUGAGCCCAGUGAAAGCUGGACGCUAAUGGACUUGUGCUCAAAUAGACUGACUGUCGUGAAAUCCUGGGGGUCACAGAGAUCAGAGCGGGUGGGGGAGACCCGAGCCUCGGUGACCAAGGCUCCCUCCCAUGGGGACCUCAGUGCAGGGACACAGCCAAGGGCGGGAAUUUCCACCCUCCGCCAGACAGCCUCCUGGCGCAGCUCUGCCCACCCACCUGGAGUGCCUGCAGCCCCCGGACCCCGCUGCUCCCGCCCUGACUCCUCACCCAGCACCCCGGGAGCAGCCCCAGGAGGCCAGCCCCAAAUAGCCAGCCCCGAAGCAGGUCAGCCCUCCUCCCCUUCUGUUUCAGGUCAGCCCAGCCAGGCCUCCCCUGGGGAGCGGCAGGCUCUCAUUUCUCUCCCGGGCUCACUAAAUUGGCAGGACCCUGUGACUCUCCCAGCAGGCGACACAGGGAAAAGUUUUCCGGGAUUUCAAGCCCUUUGAUGGAGAAAGUCUGCCUAAUAAAUCAUUGAGAGGC